rnacentral:lncRNA from 1 species
GUCUAGCCUAAGGUGUCAUAGAUAUUUUUGACUAAUCCUAUCUCUAAGUUUCUUAGACCCUAUGGUAUUUAUAGUUUGCUCAUUAAUAUUGACACUCAUAUCUAUAUGUAAAUGAUAAAGACUGUUAAUCAAGAAAGCCCGUAUUACAAUUUUAUUUUCAAAAUAAACUAAACACAUAUCUUUAUUGAAAUAAAAAUUAUAAUU